rnacentral:rRNA from 1 species
AUGGAAGACCAAUAUGUGAAUCCAAAGAAGCCACGGCAAAAAACAGGUAUCACUAAUAGGCAUCAUUAUGAAGUGGAUUGUUUUAAUGAUGUCAUUGAUUGGCUUCUUCAAGAACUUGACAAUCGCUUCAAUGAGAAAAAUUCUAAACUACUUGUCUGCUCGGCGGCUUUGAGUCCAAUUGAAUCAUUUCGUGAUUUCAAUUUAGAGCAUUUGAUGAGUCUAGCCAAACUUUAUCCAAAAGAUUUUGAUGAUGGAGAACUCAGGGACCUUAGACAUCACCUUCUUCUUUACAUUGCUGAUGUCCGAGCAGAUGAUCGCUUCUCUGGUUUAAGUAAUAUUUGUCGGCUCUCUCAAAAAAUGGUGGAGACAAGGAAACAUAUUGUAUAUCCCUUGGUUUAUCGACUUUUGAAGCUAGCACUAGUAUUGCCUGUUGCCACUGCUACAGUUGAGAGAUCUUUUUCAGCUAUGAGAAUUGUGAAGACAUAUUUGCGCAAUCGUCUUGGCGACGACGCCUUGAAGUACAACCUUAUUUGUUAUGUGGAGAAAAGCGAAAUGAGGAAGGUUACAAAUGAUGCAGUAAUUGAUCGCUUUGAGGCCAUGAAAGAACGCAGGAAACCAUUUUAG